rnacentral:lncRNA from 1 species
UCAGUAGACAGCUUUGCAGGCUGUUCUUGUGUUUGCAGUCCCUGUGUAUAGCCUUCUCAAAAUACAAACGGCAUAUUUUGAGGUCUGGAGGCUAGAAGUCUGAAAUCAAGAAGUCUGCAUGCCCGUACUCCCUCCACAGGCUCUAGGGGAGGAUCCUUCCUUGCUUCUUCCAGCGUCUGGUGGCUCCAGGUUGAAGACCUGAAAACUGUGACCCCUGUUGCCUAGCAACUGAGAAGCUCAGCCUCAACUCCGGGUGGGGGAGAUGAUGGAGAAAGGACAAUUGCUCUGAGCUUUCAGUCACCAUGUGAGAAGUCUGGCUACCCUGAGGCCAGCACAUGCAGAGACCACAUGGAGAGAUGAGAGGCAGAGAGAGCCGCCCAAGGAACUCCAGCUGUUCCAGCACCCAGCUGUUUGAAUCCUCCCAGCCCAGGCACUAAACGUGAAUGAAAAGCUCUCAAGACAACCUCAGCCCUCGGACCCAGCCACAGACUGAUUGCCACUGUAUGAGAGACCUCAGAUGAAAACUGUCAAGUGGAGCCCGGCUAGCUAACAGAUUUAUAAGCAAAAUAAGUGAUUGUUAUUGUUUCAAGCCACCAUUUUGAAGUGGCUUUUCUGCAGCAAUAGAUGCCUGGAGGAGUCCUAAUAAUAAAAAUUAAUCAGAUGGAGGAUCUGCUUUUUUAUUUUCUCUUAGGACUAAGGAAAGGCUUGGUAUAAUCUUUGAACUGAGAUAAAGAAUAAGUUACUCUUAAAAUUUUCCAACAAAUGGAGUCCUUAUUGUCUGUAGUUAGUACCCAAAGCUUAGACACUUUCUCUCUACAUACCCUUCCAAGGAUAAGGCUGUAUUUUGUAAUGCCAGAUGACACAAUCUGAUAAACAAGCAGACACCCAU